GAGGUAAAGACCUAGAGGUGAGGUCUCUGAGCAAGGGAGUCCCAUCCCAUCCUCUGCCCUCUGUUGGCUGUUGUCCUCUCAUCUUCAUCAGGAGAAUUAAAAUCAUAGAAUGUUGUACUGACGACACAAGAUCUCAGACUUGUGUGAUUCUAGCAGCUGAACACACCCCAGGCUCUUCUGACUGGCAGUGGCUCUGGAAGCAGUCUGGUCUAUAGAGUUAUGGAUUCACUACCAGAUUCUACUGUAUGCUCUGACAACUAUGACCACAAUGGCAGCAAGAUUAAGAAAAUUGUGCAUUCAAUUAUAUCAUCCUUUGCAUUUGGACUAUUUGGAGUUUUCCUGGUCUUACUGGAUGUCACUCUCGUCCUUGCCGACCUAAUUUUCACUGACAGCAAACUUUAUAUUCCUUCGGAGUAUCGUUCUAUUUCUCUAGCUAUUGCCUUAUUUUUUCUCAUGGAUGUUCUUCUUCGAGUAUUUGUAGAAGGGAAACUGAACUGAACUGAAGUCCAGGUCUUCUGUAAUAGAGUGUCUCUCCUUCAACAGGGAACAACACUACAGUCGCCCGUAGUUUUGUUUCUGUUCAGUCUCCAUUGUGGCAUGCCACACUCUCCUGGUUUGGGCCCUGCUCAUUUCUUUACUGCCUUCCUGCCUGCCCUUUUUGUGCAGGUGGAUUCUUGCUCUGUCACCCAGGCUGGAGCGUAAUGGCACAAUCUUCGCUCACUUCAACCUCUGCCUUCUGGGUUCGAGCAAUUCUCCUGCCUCAGCCUCCUGAGUAACUGGGAUUACAGGGCAUGGUGGCACACACCUGUAAUCCCAGCUACUCGGGAGGCCGAGGCAGGAGCAUUGCUUGUACCCAGGAGGCAGAGAUUGCAGUGAGCUGAGAUCACGCCAUUGCACUCCAGUCUGAGCAACAAGAGCAAAACUUCGUCUCAAAAAAAUAAAAAAUUAAAAAAUAACAAAAAAUGAGACAG
rnacentral:lncRNA from 1 species